GGGAGCCGUGUGCCAUGAAAGUGGCACGCACGGUUCGCGCCACAAAGGUGCGGAGGAUAAUACCUCCCAUCGACUCUAC
rfam:Hassallia byssoidea VB512170 scaffold_4, whole genome shotgun sequence.